rnacentral:rRNA from 1 species
UACGUAGGGUGCGAGCGUUUGUCCGGAAUUACUGGGCGUAAAGAGCUCGUAGGUGGUUUGUCGCGUUGUUCGUGAAAACUCACAACUCAAUUGUGGGCGUGCGGGCGAUACGGGCAGACUGGAGUACUGCAGGGGAGACUGGAAUUCCCGGUGUAGUGGUGGAAUGCGUAGAGAUCGGGAGGAACACCGGUGGCGAAGGCGGCUCCCUGGGACGGGUACUGACGCUGAGACGCGAAAGCGUGGGGAGCGAACAGG